ACUGGCUGAUGAAUCCAAAUAGGACGAAAUGCGCAUCCUGGAU
rnacentral:hammerhead_ribozyme from 1 species